rnacentral:lncRNA from 1 species
GCAGGGCAAUGCCGUUCAGCUUGCCCUUCAGGCUGGGCAGCACCAGCGACACGGCCUUGGCGGCACCGGUGGUGGUGGGCACAAUGUUCAGGGCGGCGGCGCGGGCGCGGCGCAGGUCGCGGUGGGACGCGUCCAGCAGGCGCUGGUCACCGGUGUAGGAGUGGGUGGUGGUCAUCGUGCCCUUGACAAUGCCGAACUUCUGCUCCAGCACCUGGGGUAGGCAAGGGAGAGGGGAAAGGGGAAGGGCCGGGUCAGAGACAGGUGAGCUGACAAGACAAGAUAUCCCAGGGCACUCGGACCCGCAACACCGUGGACGCUCUUGCCGCCCCCCGCAUUUAUUCCUGACGAAAAAGCCACAGCAAGCAACAUGCGUAAGCUUCCUUACCUUGACGAAGGGGGCCAGGCAGUUGGUGGUGCACGAGGCGUUGGAGAUGAUGGGGUACUCGUGCUUGUAGUCGCCCUCGUUCACACCGACCACGAAGGUGGGGAUGUCCUUGUCCUUGGCGGGGGCGGUGAUCAGCACCUUGGAGGCACCGGCCUAUAGAUGUGUGGGGCAAGGCAGGGGGGUCAUGUCAGCAGGGGGAACGAGCUCAAUGGGCGAGCGAGCGCCGUUACUCG